rnacentral:rRNA from 1 species
AUGAACGCUAGCGACAGGCUUAACACAUGCAAGUCGAGGGGCAGCGAGGAAGUGGCAACACUUCCGUCGGCGACCGGCGCACGGGUGAGUAACGCGUAUGCAACCUGCCCUUCACAGGGGGAUAACCGGGAGAAAUUCCGACUAAUACCGCAUACGUCCUCCGGGGGCAUCCCCGGGGGAUGAAAGAAUUAUCGGUGAAGGAUGGGCAUGCGUGAUAUUAGGUAGUUGGCGGGGCAACGGCCCACCAAGCCCACGAUAUCUAGGGGUUCUGAGAGGAAGGUCCCCCACAUUGGUACUGAGACACGGACCAAACUCCUACGGGAGGCAGCAGUGAGGAAUAUUGGUCAAUGGACGAGAGUCUGAACCAGCCAAGUCGCGUGAAGGAAGACGGAUCUAUGGUUUGUAAACUUCUUUAGUGCGGGAACAAAGCGGCGUCGAGACGCCGGAUGAGUGUACCGCAAGAAUAAGCAUCGGCUAACUCCGUGCCAGCAGCCGCGGUAAUACGGAGGAUGCGAGCGUUAUCCGGAUUUAUUGGGUUUAAAGGGAGCGCAGGCUGCGAGGCAAGUCAGCGGUCAAAUGUGGGGGCUCAACCCCGGCCUGCCGUUGAAACUGUUUUGCUAGAGUUCGAGUGAGGUAUGCGGAAUGCGUUGUGUAGCGGUGAAAUGCAUAGAUAUGACGCAGAACUCCGAUUGCGAAGGCAGCAUACCAACUCGCGACUGACGCUGAGGCUCGAAAGCGUGGGUAUCGAACAGGAUUAGAUACCCUGGUAGUCCACGCAGUAAACGAUGAAUACUAACUGUUCGGAGGGCGACCUCUGAGUGGUAAAGCGAAAGCGUUAAGUAUUCCACCUGGGGAGUACGCCGGCAACGGUGAAACUCAAAGGAAUUGACGGGGACCCGCACAAGCGGUGGAGCAUGUGGUUUAAUUCGAAGCAACGCGAAGAACCUUACCAGGUCUUGACAUCUAACGAAUGCUGUAGAGAUACGGCAGUGCCCUUCGGGGAACGUUAAGACAGGUGGUGCAUGGUUGUCGUCAGCUCGUGCCGUGAGGUGUCGGCUUAAGUGCCAUAACGAGCGCAACCCCCGCGUCCAGUUGCCAGCGAUUAGAGUCGGGCACUCUGGACGGACUGCCGGCGCAAGCCGCGAGGAAGGCGGGGAUGACGUCAAAUCAGCACGGCCCUUACGUCCGGGGCGACACACGUGUUACAAUGGCGUGGAACAGAGGGAAGCCACCUGGCGACAGGGAGCGGAACCCGAAAACACGUCUCAGUUCGGAUUGGAGUCUGCAACUCGACUCCAUGAAGCUGGAUUCGCUAGUAAUCGCGCAUCAGCCAUGGCGCGGUGAAUACGUUCCCGGGCCUUGUACACACCGCCCGUCAAGCCAUGGGAGCCGGGAGUGCCUGAAGGCCGUAACCGCAAGGAGCGGUCAAGGGUAAGACUGGUGACUGGGGCU